rnacentral:piRNA from 1 species
UCCCCUUUUCUGCAUCCGUUGCAAUGGGA